rnacentral:rRNA from 1 species
GCCUAUACAUGCAAGUCGAGCGAGCUUGCCUAGAUGAAUUUGGUGCUUGCACCAAAUGAAACUAGAUACAAGCGAGCGGCGGACGGGUGAGUAACACGUGGGUAACCUGCCCAAGAGACUGGGAUAACACCUGGAAACAGAUGCUAAUACCGGAUAACAACACUAGACGCAUGUCUAGAGUUUAAAAGAUGGUUCUGCUAUCACUCUUGGAUGGACCUGCGGUGCAUUAGCUAGUUGGUAAGGUAACGGCUUACCAAGGCAAUGAUGCAUAGCCGAGUUGAGAGACUGAUCGGCCACAUUGGGACUGAGACACGGCCCAAACUCCUACGGGAGGCAGCAGUAGGGAAUCUUCCACAAUGGACGCAAGUCUGAUGGAGCAACGCCGCGUGAGUGAAGAAGGGUUUCGGCUCGUAAAGCUCUGUUGGUAGUGAAGAAAGAUAGAGGUAGUAACUGGCCUUUAUUUGACGGUAAUUACUUAGAAAGUCACGGCUAACUACGUGCCAGCAGCCGCGGUAAUACGUAGGUGGCAAGCGUUGUCCGGAUUUAUUGGGCGUAAAGCGAGUGCAGGCGGUUCAAUAAGUCUGAUGUGAAAGCCUUCGGCUCAACCGGAGAAUUGCAUCAGNACUGUUGAACUUGAGUGCAGAAGAGGAGAGUGGAACUCCAUGUGUAGCGGUGGAAUGCGUAGAUAUAUGGAAGAACACCAGUGGCGAACGCGGCUCUCUGGUCUGCAACUGACGCUGANGCUCGAAAGCAUGGGUAGCGAACAGGAUUAGAUACCCUGGUAGUCCAUGCCGUAAACGAUGAGUGCUA